rnacentral:rRNA from 1 species
AACGAACGCUGGCGGCAUGCCUAACACAUGCAAGUCGAACGCCUGUAGCAAUACAGGAGUGGCAGACGGGUGCAUAACACGUGGGAACCUACCCUAGGGUUCGGAAUAACCGCGGAAAACUGCGGCUAAUACCGGAUACGUCCUUCGGGAGAAAGAUUCAUCGCCCUUGGAGGGGCCCGCGUCGGAUUAGCUAGUUGGUGAGGUAACGGCUCACCAAGGCGACGAUCCGUAGCUGAUCUGAGAGGAUGAUCAGCCACACUGGAACUGAGACACGGUCCAGACUCCUACGGGAGGCAGCAGUGGGGAAUAUUGGACAAUGGGGGCAACCCUGAUCCAGCAAUGCCGCGUGGGUGAUGAAGGCCUUCGGGUUGUAAAGCCCUUUUGGCAGGGACGAUGAUGACGGUACCUGCAGAAUAAGCCCCGGCUAACUUCGUGCCAGCCGCCGCGGUAA